rnacentral:miRNA from 1 species
AACAGUUGAGGGAUGAAAAACA